UACAGAGGGUGCAAGCGUUGUUCGGAAUCAUUGGGCGUAAAGGGCGCGUAGGCGGCCACGCAAGUCGGAUGUGAAAUCCCUCGGCUCAACCGAGGAACUGCAUCCGAAACUGCGAGGCUCGAGUCCUGGAGAGGGUAGUGGAAUUCCCAGUGUAGCGGUGAAAUGCGUAGAUACUGGGAGGAACACCGGUGGCGAAGGCGGCUACCUGGACCGUAACUGACGCUGAGACACGAAAGCGUGGGUAGCAAACAGG
rnacentral:rRNA from 1 species